rnacentral:lncRNA from 1 species
CUUGCCUUCUUGCGGCACAGCCACCAAACACAACACAGCAGCAGUGGCGCAAGCAGCAGGGGCGGCACAAAAUAGAGCCAGUUGCAAAAAAUGCCCUGGCUGAGAAAGACAGCAAUAUGAACCACGCCUAAGGGACAGAGGAAUGCCAGGCCUGGGAGGGCCUGGGUAGCCUCAUCCUGGUGCCCACCACUUGGAGGCCCAUCUGCCCAUUCUCCCUUCUCUACAGGUGGUCCCACCUCAAGGCACAACAGUGGGGCCGGGGGUAAGGGAUGCUUCCAAGGGAACUACAAACCCCUCCUCUGGCCCCGCUGAAAGUCUCUGCCCAAGAGCCCUGCCAAGAAAGUCCCGGAAGCUUCCACUGUCUGACAAACCCACCCUCACUGCACACCUCGCCUGCAGCACAGGGCUUCUGUGAGGACCACAAAAUCUCCAGCUGACUUCAAUGAAGUACUCCCUAAAGCACAGAAAACACAGACGGUGAGAGCCAGCCCAGAGAGAUGCAGUUCUUGACCUUGGCCAGUGGACAGCGUGGGUAAUGAGAGGUCAUUCCCCAAACGCUUGCAGAGAGAAACUCUCUGUCGUUCAGGUUGACAUAAAUGGUGUCCAGAAGUAGGACCUGGAGUAGGACCACUACUUGAAGAAAUCAGCCACUCUUGGAAUUGGUGUGCAGUCCUCACUUGAGCCCUUGGAGCUCCCUGUUUCUGUGACUUGCUUUCUCUGCCCUGGAGAGUCUUCUCUCAGGCUGAGCCUCCUACUUUUGGGUGGAAGCUCUUGACUUCAUUCAGCAUCUGAUUUGGAUAAGGCCACCGUAAGCCAAAGAGCUUACAUCCCUCCUGAAAUGAUAACAAUUUUUUGUCUUUUCCAGUAAUUCUUUCUGGUAUAAUGACAAAUGUUUUUCUGAUUUGAGCACCCUAGUUUCUACAUAAUUUACAUUUGUUUGUGAGGCAUGUCUUUUCUGGCAAAUUCACUUUUAGUUCUGCAUGCCUAAUUAAAUAUUUGUUUGAUCUGUAUACCCGGGUUAAAAUAUCUGUGAACAAUGACAUUGGUUUGGUUCCAUGUGUCUGUAAGUCAUAUGGAACCAAAAAAGCCCACACAGCCAAAGCAAGACUAAGCAAAAAGAACAAAUCUGGAGGCAUCACAUUACCCAACUUCAAACUAUUCACAUGGCUAUAGUCACCAAAAUAGCAUGGUACUGUUAUAAAAACAGGCACAUAGACCAAUGGAACAGAAUAGAGAAUCCAGAAAUAAACACAAAUACUUACAGCCAACUGAUCUUUGACAAAGCAAACGAAAGCAUAAAGUGGAGAAAGGACACCCUAUUCAACAAAUGGUGCUGGGAUAAUUGGCAAGCCACCAUGUAGAAGAAUAAAACUGGUUCCUCAUCUCUCAACUUAUACAAAAAUCAAUUCAAGAUGAAUCAAAGACUUAAAUCUAAGACCUGAGACUAUAAAAAUUCUAGAAGAUAACAUCAGAAAAACUCUUCUAGACACUGGCUUAGGCAGACACUUCAUGACCAAGAACCCAAAAGCAAAUGCAACAAAAACAAAAAUAUUUGUGGGGGGGUAAAUUGAUGAAAAAAAUUUUGCAUGUAAUUGACUUGGUAAUAAUCAGAAUAAAAUUAUUUAUAAGUCUUCAUAAAGAUUGAGCUCUGAUAUUAAAAAUACAGUAAUACUAAACUAAAAAAUUGGUCUCCUAUAUUAGAACACCAAAGUUUUCUUGAAAUAUUGAUUUGCUAUUAGUAAAAUUGCAAGAGGUUUUGAUUUUUAAUUCUGACUGCUGUUUUCUUUAACAGCCAUCUUCUAAACUGCAGGCAGUUUCUAUUCCUGGCACAUUUUUUCCUGAGAUCCAUUUAAUUUCCCCAGUUUCAGAUAAGGAAUGCAAUCUUUUUCAUGAAGAAUGGUAAUUUUAUUCAUUAAGGUUCUUAUUUCAGAAGUUCAAUUUCUGCUGCAUCCCACUGCACAUGGUCUGCAGGCCAUACACCAUAGCCUGUAGCGCUCCUACUCCCUUCCUCCGAAAAGUUACAGCUUUUUGGUUGGCUGAGGUGAUAACUCUCUUCUCCAACUUUUUCAUCAGCUGCUCCAACUUUUUUCCUCCAGUUCUAACUUGGCUUUUAUGGCCUGGCACUAUAAUGUUUAUCUUGAAGGCCAAGAAAAGCAAUGUUUUCCGCCAAUAUAACUAGAUUAUGUACUCUUGGCUUUUCUUGAUAUGUCUGAAUUGUUCCAUGUUACCAAGAAACUUCACGUGGUUUUACUUUAUCUAAGAGCUCUACAUUCCUCUGCUCAAGGUACUAGUCUUCUUGUUUAUACUCUCCUAUAAUAUGAGUGUACAUUCAUAACACUUGGAUAUGUUCUUUUAUCUCUAAUUGAAUUUAAGGACCCUUUCAUCAGGUUCAAUUCCAAGACUGAACAGGCUUCCCAUGAGAAGAAGCAAUUACAUUGCAGGAGAUUUUUUUUACCUUUUGGUAACUGACCUAAAAGACAAACAAUUUAUAUAUUUAUAUUUUACCAAGAUAAUUUUCUGUGUUGUCUUUAUCAAAUUUUUGAUUACUUAAGAAAACUGAGCUUUGAACAGGUUAAGGUUUUAAAAUAUUUGUAACUUUCUGUAUUGCUUUUGAAGUUUCCUGAUAAUCACUCGAGUUAAAUGAAUGGCUAUUAUUUAACAGUGACCUGUGAUUCUAUUUUGAUCUAUGGCUUUGAAUCUCUUGAUAUUUUUGGUGGGCUUCUCCUGGAUCAAAAUUCUAAAUUAAGUCCUUUUGAACUACAAUUAAUUUUGAGAUUUUCCAGUUGGGCCCUUGGAGAAUAUGCAAGAAGAUAUAUUUUAAUUUAUAGAGGUAUUAAAUGAUUAGGCUUAUUUGGUAAAUUAUAUGACAAGCAUUGUCAAAUGAGAAGUGAGGCUACAUCUUCUUUUAGUCACAUUUAUGGGUAGGUUAUUGAUAGGAAUGUUCUAAAAAUUAUAUGACAAAAUCUAAUAUAUUAUAAGUCAUAAUUUUGGUUGUUAUGUUAAAACUUCUUUAAAGUUGUAUUUAUUUGGCUGUGUUAUUGAUGUGAGUAUUCUAAAGAUUAUAGGAAAUUUAUAAGUCUGAUACUUGUGAUAUGAUGCUGUCAGUCAUGAUUAUGGUUAAUAUCUUAAAUUCCUGCAGGUAAUGGAAACAACUAAAUUUUCUUGUCGAUUGUGAACUUUUAUCAGAUUUUUAACCAUGGCUAUUCUAAGUUUUUUGGAUUCUACUCAAAAAGCAUUUGUAGUCAGUUGUUGUCCAAGUUCUUGUUAUCUGUCUAUAGAGUAGACCACAUCCCGAAUUCUUCUAUGUUCCACCAAUCCAGCCUUCUUCCAUGGAAUUACUAUAAAUGGAAAACUGUUCUGUUCCAAAAGCCCUAUAAGCUGAAACUAGAUGAAUUUUAAGAAAGCAGCCUUGUGCCUGAUGUAUGGGCCACAUAAAAAGUUUACAGUGGCUCACGCCUGUAAUCCCAGCACUUUGGGAGGCCAAGGCGGGUGAAUCACGAGGUCAGGAGAUCGAAACCAUCCUGGCUAACAUGGUGAAACCCUGUCUCUACUAAAAAAUACAAAAAAAAUUAGCCAGGUGUGGUGGCACGCACCUGUAGUCCCAGCUACUCAGGAGGCUGAGGCAGGAGAAUGGCGUGAACCUGGUCGUGCCACUGCACUCCAGCCUGGGCGACAGAGCUAGACUCUGUCUCAAAAAAAUAAAAUAAAAUAAAAUAAAAAAUAAAGUUUACCAAACCAUUUGAUGCCAUGACCAGAGACAAACUGCAAAUCAGGAUGAGAAGUUGACCUUUGCACACUAUAGACAGCUUUUUUCAAGACAUUGGAAAAGACUCCAUAGUAUAAUGAGACUCCUACACUCCUUAAGGUUACCUUUCUAACUUGGCAAGAUAAUGGAGUAAUUGAAAUUUCACAAUUACUACCUUCUGCUUGUAAGUUGACAGAAUCUGACCUAAGAGAUCCUUUGGUAUACAUUGACUAAAUAAGAAAAUGUCUGUACUAUUGCUAAUACUGCAUGCCAUCCCUGGAUAAAUUCCUCUUGGAAAGUCAAUACCAAUAUACACAAAGUAAGAAAACAGGCCACAUGGUUAAAACAGAUCUCACCUAAUUCCUUAUGAUCAUUUGAUUUAUUCAGUGGGUUACUGAUGUGGUUUGGCUGUGUCCCUACCCAAAUCUCAUCUUGAAUUGUAGCUCCCAUAAUUCCCACUUGUUAUAGGAGAGAUCCGGUGGGGGAUAAUUGAAUCAUGGGGGCGGAUUCCUCCAUGCUGCUCUGGUGGUAGUGAAUAAGUCUUAGGAGAUCUGAUGGUUUUAUAUGGGGUUUCUCCUUUGGCUUGGCUCUCAUUCUCUCUUGCCUACCACCAUGUAAGAUGUCUCUUGCUCUUCCAGCAUGAUUGUGAGUCCUCCCCGGCCAAGCGGAACUAUGAGUCAAUUAAACCUCCUUCCUUUGUAACUUACCCAGUCUCAAGUACGUCUUUAUUAGCAGCAUGAGAACAAACUAAUACAGUUGCCUUUAAGCCUAGGUUCAUGGAUAAAAACUAUUAUGCAAAUUGUAUUUUCCAUUUUUAAACUUUUUAUAUGUUACUUGUUAAAUUUUUGCAGAAGUACAACUUGUAACCAUAAUGCUAGCCCAUCACUUUGAGAUAACAGCAAGACUAUGGAACUCACAAAAUUGAACUUAAUAAUGGACUCAAGAUAGACUUAGCCCGAGAGUCACUCCUUUCAAACAUCCUUUAAAGGUCAACUGUGACUAAAAGGGAUUGACACUUACUCCAAGUUGCCAAUUGCUCCCUCCAAAAUGGACCAAGACCUGCAACCAGGACAGGCCCAUCCCAUUAUCCAGGGACAGUCAAAACCUAAUUACAGAAUGAUUGAUUAGUGAGGUGUUUGCAGAAAGAUCUUGAUCAAAAGGGAGAAAUUGUGAAAGUUCUCAGAAUCAAAAUGGAGUUAACAUGUUAAAAAAACAACAAAAAAAUCCUGGCAAGCUGAAUUGGGGAAGUUUAUGAAGAGAAGAUUCACAUGCUUGUAUACCUGAUAACAAAAACUAUCACAAAUCUCUACCAAACUACAACCUUUGCAAAGACCAUUGCAACCUUACUCAAAAAUACUUCUGCAAGGACAUCUGACCCGCAAUUGCCCAUGCAACCUCACAUUGGGGUCACCUCUAUUAUUAUUGAUCUUAGUAGCCAAGAAGAACUAACUCAAACAAUUAUGUAAUCCUUCUCACAUCUCCUGUAAAAUCUAACCUUCCUGAAUAUGCAUGUAGUUUACUAUGGCAUGCGUAUUCC